rnacentral:rRNA from 1 species
AGCGAACGCUGGCGGCAGGCUUAACACAUGCAAGUCGAACGGUCCUUCGGGAUAGUGGCGGACGGGUGAGUAACACGUGGGAACGUACCCUUAGGUUCGGAACAACACAGGGAAACUUGUGCUAAUACCGGAUAAGCCCUUCGGGGGAAAGAUUUAUCGCCUUUGGAGCGGCCCGCGUCUGAUUAGAUUGUUGGUGGGGUAAUGGCUCACCAAGGCUACGAUCAGUAGCUGGUCUGAGAGGAUGGCCAGCCACACUGGGACUGAGACACGGCCCAGACUCCUACGGGAGGCAGCAGCGGGGAAUCUUGCGCAAUGGGGGAAAGCCUGACGCAGCCAUGCCGCGUGGAUGAUGAAGGUCUUAGGAUUGUAAAAUCCUUUCACCGGGGACGAUAAUGACGGUACCCGGAGAAGAAGCCCCGGCUAACUUCGUGCCAGCAGCCGCCGUAA